rnacentral:rRNA from 1 species
UGCCAGCCGCCGCGGUAAUACGAAGGGACCUAGCGUAGUUCGGAAUUACUGGGCUUAAAGAGCUCGUAGGUGGUUAAAAAGGUUGAUGGUGAAAUCCCAAGGCUCAACCUUGGAACUGCCAUCAAAACUUUUCAGCUAGAGUUUGAUAGAGGAAAGCAGAAUUUCUAGUGUAGAGGUGAAAUUCGUAGAUAUUAGAAAGAAUACCAAUUGCGAAGGCAGCUUUCUGGACAUUUACUGACGCUCAGACACGAAGGCUAGGGUAGCGAAAGGGAUUAGAUA